rnacentral:rRNA from 1 species
UAACGAGGGGGGCAAGCGUUGGUUCGGAAUUAUUGGGCGUAAAGGGGCGCGUAGGCGGUGGCGGUAAGUCACCUGUGAAAACUCUAGGGCUCAACCUCAGAGCCUGACAGGCGAAACUGCCGUGCUUGAGUGUGGGAGAGGUGCGUGGAAUUCCGGUGUAGCGGUGAAAUGCGUAGAUAUCGGGAGGAACACCUGUGGCGAAAGCGGCGCACUGGACCACGCUGACGCUGAGGCGCGAAAGCUAGGGGAGCAAACAGG